AGUGAACGCUGGCGGCAGGCCUAACACAUGCAAGUCGAGCGGAAGCACGGAGCGUGCUCGUGGAUUCAGGUGCCGAGGGGCGGGUAGGGGCUGGGAAUCUCCGUAGUUGUGUGGUAUAGCGUCCGGAAGCGGGGGCUAAUACGGCAAACGUGCUGAGGGCGUACGGGGGGGAUCUGCGGACCUUCCGCUCUCAGACGAUCCUAGGUCGGAUUAGCUAGUUGGUGGGGUAAAGGCCUACCAAGGCGACGAUCCGUAACUGGUCUGAGAGGAUGAUCAGUCACACUGGAACUGAGACACGGUCCAGACUCCUACGGGAGGCAGCAGUGGGGAAUAUUGGACAAUGGGCGCAAGCCUGAUCCAGCCAUGCCGCGUGUGUGAAGAAGGUCUUCGGGUUGUAAAGCCCUUUUGGUUGGGAAGAAAAGCAGUAGGUUAAUACCUCGCUGUUCUGACGGUACCAAAAGAAUAAGCACCGGCUAACUUCGUG
rnacentral:rRNA from 1 species